rnacentral:lncRNA from 1 species
UUUUAAAAGCCCUACUGACAUACAUUGGUCUGUUUGAACGUGUUUCGACGCGGUUUUCUACAAGGAUUCAGCGAGAAGAGACUCCUGGCUGCAGCAAUAAAUCUGGUUUACUAGUCGUUUAAUGAAAGCGUGUUAAAAUCACAGCAAGCACAUCGUGGUUGUAAACUUUAGCCACUAGCCGUUUUAGCCAGUUGUGGCUAAAAAAAGUGAAUGAUGGAAACAGCUAGGGCGGACAUAGCAUAUGCUUUUCAUGGUUAAAGUGCCAAAAAUUGAUGUCAAGUAAAGUCAGUGGAGGAGGAUGAAAACAGGGCAGGAUUGACAGGUGGUGGAGGUCUGUCUGUGGGGUUUUCAGUCCAGGCCUUGCGCCAGACAAGACAAGAGCAGGUCCUGAGUCAGUGCAGCGGGCCCCGAGUGGGCCGCAGCGUGGGAGCAGACGGGGAUAUGGAGCACCCCAUGAUUAAUCAGACCCAGCAGCCUGACAGCUUUACUGUCUACACUGAAAGUGAGCGAUGUGACAAAACUAGAAUGAUGAAAUCGAGCUUUAGUGUUUCUUUGAUUACCAUGUUCUAGUUUUAUUGUGCCACAUUGUUUACUGUCAGUGUAGAUGGGAAGUUACAAACUAAACGGAUCAUUUUGACUGCAAUUAUUGAAAUGUAAUCCGAUCUAAACUUUGUUUAACAAAACAUGUAAAUAAUCCAAGGAUGUAACCACAUACCCUACUGUAUAACAGUUUGCAGUUUAAUAUUUUUGAAAGAAGCUUCUUCUGCUCACAAAGGC